GACGAACGCUGGCGGCAUGCUUAACACAUGCAAGUCGAACGGAAAAGCCGUGCUUGUGUGGGGUGCUAGCGGGGCGAGCGGGUGAGUAGCACGUGAGUAACCUGGCCUGGGGUUUGGGAUAACUUCAGGGAACCGGGGCUACUACCGGCUAGGAGCUCCAGAUGGCAGGGGGGGGUUGGAAAGUUUCGGCGGAUGGGGAUGGACUGGCGGCUUAUCAGCUUGUGGGUGGGGUAGUGGCUUACCAAGGCUUUGACGGGUGGCCGGCCAGAGAGGGUGACCGGCCUCCUUGCUACUGAGAUACGGCCCAGACUGCUACGGGGGGCAGCAGGGGGGAAUAUUGCCCAACGGGCGGACGCCUGAUGAAGCAGCGCCGCGUUCGGGAUGCAGGCCUUCUGGUUGUAAACCGCUUCUGCUUGUGACGAAGCGGUAUUGACGGUAACGGGUGAAUAAGCACCGGCUAACUACGUG
rnacentral:rRNA from 1 species